GGCCCAGUGGCGGAUGGGCCGCGCCUGCACUCAAUAGCUUGUCUUUCGACAAUGAGUUUCUGCAGGAUCUGCUCGUUCGAAUCGAGCCUGGGCCU